GCCUGGCUGGCUCAGUCAGUAGAGCAUGGGACUCUCAAUCUCAGAGUUUCACAACAUGAGUUCAAGCCCCGUGCUGGGCA
rnacentral:tRNA from 1 species